rnacentral:rRNA from 1 species
GGGUUGUGAGGUUAAGCGACUAAGCGUACACGGUGGAUGCCCUGGCAGUCAGAGGCGAUGAAGGGCGUGCUAAUCUGCGAUAAGCGCCGGUAAGGUGAUAUGAACCGUUAUAACCGGCGAUACCCGAAUGGGGAAACCCAGUGUGAUUCGUCACACUAUCAUUAACUGAAUCCAUAGGUUAAUGAGGCGAACCGGGGGAACUGAAACAUCUAAGUACCCCGAGGAAAAGAAAUCAACCGAGAUUCCCCCAGUAGCGGCGAGCGAACGGGGAGGAGCCCAGAGCCUGAAUCAGCAUGUGUGUUAGUGGAAGCGUCUGGAAAGGCGCGCGAUACAGGGUGACAGCCCCGUACACAAAAGCGCAUGUGCUGUGAGCUCGAUGAGUAGGGCGGGACACGUGGUAUCCUGUCUGAAUAUGGGGGGACCAUCCUCCAAGGCUAAAUACUCCUGACUGACCGAUAGUGAACCAGUACCGUGAGGGAAAGGCGAAAAGAACCCCGGCGAGGGGAGUGAAAAAGAACCUGAAACCGUGUACGUACAAGCAGUGGGAGCCCCACCACUA